ACCGCUCAGUAACACGUGGACAACCUACCCUUAGGUCGGGGAUAAACCCGGGAAACUGGGUAUAAUACCCGAUAGAUCUCGACUGCUGGAAUGCAUCGAGAUCCAAAGCUCCGGCGCCUAAGGAUGGGUCUGCGGCCUAUCAGGUAGUAGUGGGUGUAGCGUACCUACUAGCCUACGACGGGUACGGGUUGUGAGAGCAAGAGCCCGGAGAUGGAUUCUGAGACACGAAUCCAGGCCCUACGGGGUGCAGCAGGCGCGAAAACUUUACAAUGCUGGAAACAGCGAUAAGGGGACCUCGAGUGCCAGGUUACAAAUCUGGCUGUCGUGAUGCCUAAAAAGCAUUGCAUAGCAAGGGCCGGGCAAGACCGGUGCCAGCCGCCGCGGUAACACCGGCGGCUCGAGUGGUAACCGUUAUUAUUGGGUCUAAAGGGUCUGUAGCCGGCCGGAUAAGUCUCUUGGGAAAUCCAGCAGCUCAACUGUUGGGCUUUCAGGAGAUACUGUCUGGCUCGAGGCCGGGAGAGGUGAGAGGUACUUCAGGGGUAGGGGUGAAAUCUUGUAAUCCUUGAAGGACCACCAGUGGCGAAGGCGUCUCACCAGAACGGACCUGACGGCAAGGGACGAAAGCUAGGGGCACGAACCGGAUUAGAUACCCGGGUAGUCCUAGCCGUAAACGAUACUCGCUAGGUGUCGGCCACGGUGCGACCGUUGUCGGUGCCGUAGGGAAGCCGUGAAGCGAGCCACCUGGGAAGUACGGCCGCAAGGCUGAAACUUAAAGGAAUUGGC
rnacentral:rRNA from 1 species